rnacentral:rRNA from 1 species
UACAGAGGUCUCAAGCGUUGUUCGGAUUCAUUGGGCGUAAAGGGUGCGUAGGCGGCGCGGUAAGUCGGGUGUGAAAUCUCGGAGCUUAACUCCGAAACUGCAUUCGAUACUGCCGUGCUUGAGGACUGGAGAGGAGACUGGAAUUUACGGUGUAGCGGUGAAAUGCGUAGAUAUCGUAAGGAAGACCAGUGGCGAAGGCGGGUCUCUGGACACUUCCUGACGCUGAGGCACGAAAGCCAGGGGAGCAAACGGG